rnacentral:rRNA from 1 species
CGUAAAGUCCUUUUCUGAGGGAAGAAAUGCCGGGGGAGGAAAUGCCUUCGACUUGACGGUACCUCAGGAAUAAGCAACGGCUAAGUCCGUGCCAGCAAUCGCGGUAAUACGUAAGUUGCAAGCGUUGUUCGGAAUGACUGGGCGUAGCUGGAGUGCAGGCGGGCAGGUCAGUCUGAAGUGAAAGCCCGGGGCUCAACCCCGGAAUUGCUUUGGAUACUGUCUGGCUUGAGUGUGCGAGAGGAAAGCGGAAUUCCAGGUGUAGCGGUGAAAUGCGUAGAUGUCAGGAGGAACACCGGUGGCGAAUGCAGAUUUCUGGCGCAUAACUAUCUCUGAGGCUCGAAAGCCUGGGGAGCGACCGGGCAUGAGAUACCACGGUAGUACACACCGUCAACGUCGUGCACUAGUUCUGGGAGGAAUCGACCCUUUCCGUGCCCGGAGCUUACCGCAUUAAGUGCACCGCCUGGGGAGUACGCUCGCAAGACUGAAACUCAAAGGAAGUGACGGGGGCCCGCACAAACGGUGGAGCAUGUGGUCUAAUUAGAGGCAACGCGAAGCACCUUACCCAGGCUUGACAUCCCGAGAC